GUAGGAUAGAAAUGAAUUGUAUUAGUUAAAAGUUAUAUGGGAAGUUAAGAGAAUAAUUAAUUUUAUAGGUAAAAUUUGUUAAAUUAGAUAUUUCUUAGGAUAGAAGGUUGAAGCUUUGAAAAUUAGAGUUAAGACUAGGAUUAGAUACCCUAUUAUUUUAAUUGUAAAAGGAGGAGACUUGAGUAGUAUUAGUUAAGUGCUUGAAACUCAAAGAAUUUGGCGGUGUCUUAGUCUUUUCAGAGGAAUCUGUCCUAUAAUCGAUAUUACACGUUAAAUGUUACUUAAUUUAGUAUGGUCAGUUUGUAUACCGCCGUCAUAAGGUCAUCUUUUUAGAGAAAGAAUUUUCUUAAUAUUAUAAGAUAGUAUGUCAGGUCAAGGUGCAGUUUAUAAUUAAGUGGGAGAUGGAUUACAAUAAAUUUAUUUAAAUGGAUUUUCUGUUGAAAUGUGGGAAUGAAGGUGGAUUUGAAGGUAAUUCUGUUAAAUUAUGAUAGAAUGAUUUAAGCUCUAGGACAUGUACACAUCGCCCGUCGCUCUCGUUAUUAAGAUGAGAUAAGUCGUAACAUAGUAGUCGUACUGGAAAGUGGGGCUAGAAGUCAA
rnacentral:rRNA from 1 species